AGCCUCUGUGCUACUUGCUGCCACAGAAGAGGGAGGUUCUUGGUUGUGGUUUGAGUGUGGAGGGUUUCCAGCAACAGUUACUUCGUCCAGCAGUAACUUUCCUUGCCUGUGGUGUAACAGGAG